CACUGCAAACAGCAUGAAAUAUCCUGGGAUGCCAAAGGGGAAGAUGUUUCUAGAAAAGCACCCACAUAGCUACAUGAUUUGCCAGGAAUGUUUGAAUGGGCCAUUAUGACAAAACCAAUCCCAGAACCUCAGAUGCGUGUUUCAACACUUCUUUAGCCAUUCUCUACAGCCUGCCUCUUACUGUUAAUGUAAGGUUUUGGUCUUUGUUCUCAUUGGCUCUGACAUCUUUAAGGAAGCCAUUGCUUAAGGAAGAUUGGAUUCGUUGACAGCAUCCACAUGAAACUGUGCUAAGCUUUUGACAGGUACAUCUCGCAGACAGCUUUCACCUUCCAGAGGCAUCCUCAUGGUGUUCCAGCUCCAAUCAUCCCAACGGCACACCCAGAAUGACUUCAACAACACUUGCUUAUUUCUUAUGGCUUCAGAGGUUGGAAAGAUCAAGGUCAGGGUUGU